GCCAGUGUGGCUCAGUGGUUGAGCGUCAGCCUGUGGACUGAGGGGUCCCGGGUUCGAUUUCCGGUCAAGGGCA
rnacentral:tRNA from 1 species